rnacentral:lncRNA from 1 species
AAUUGUUCGAGAGAUGCAAAGAACAGCGUAUUAAGUUGAAUACAAUGAUGAUUAAGGGCCCGUUUGGUUUCUUAGAUUUUCAAAUCAUGUGGAAAAGUGUAUGUUGAAAUUGAUAUUUAUUGGAAUUGGCAAUUUUUGGAUUAUGUCUUUUCUUUAGGGUCAUUGUAGAUCACUAAGAUACAAACAUACUAGAACAUAUUUGAUAUAUUUGUGUGAAUAAUUGAGAGAAAUCUUGGUUAUUCUCAUCCGUUUCUAUUAAAAAAAAGUAUCCAGGCCAAUGCCCCAAGUUUGAGUAAACGCAGCGAUUCUCCAAUCGGCUUGACGAUUUGACUGUGCUUGGAGUUAUAUUGGUUCUCCCUUCUUGUAGCCGUG